rnacentral:rRNA from 1 species
GACGAACCGUGCAAACGUUGUUCGGAAUCACUGGGCUUAAAGGGCGCGUAGGCGGCCGAUCAAGUCGGGGGUGAAAUCCUGCAGCUCAACUGUAGAAGUGCCUUCGAUACUGGUCGGCUCGAGGGAGGUAGGGGUGUGUGGAACUUCUGGUGGAGCGGUGAAAUGCGUUGAUAUCAGAAGGAACGCCGGUGGCGAAAGCGACGCACUGGACCUCAUCUGACGCUGAGGCGCGAAAGCCAGGGGAGCAAACGGG